rnacentral:pre_miRNA from 1 species
CAAGUACUCCCUCCGUCCGGAAUUACUUGUCAUCAAAAUGGAUGUGUCUAGAACUAAAAUACAUCUAGAUACAUCCAUUUUAAUGACAAGUAUUUUCGGACAGA